AGCGAACGCUGGCGGCAGGCCUAACACAUGCAAGUCGAACGAACCUUUCGGGGUUAGUGGCGGACGGGUGAGUAACACGUGGGAACGUGCCUUUAGGUUCGGAAUAACUCAGGGAAACUUGUGCUAAUACCGAAUGUGCCCUUCGGGGGAAAGAUUAAUCGCCUUUAGAGCGGCCCGCGUCUGAUUAGCUAGUUGGUUGAGGUAAUGGCUCACCAAGGCGACGAUCAGUAGCUGGGCUGAGAGGAUGAUCAGCCACAUUGGGACUGAGACACGGCCCAAACUCCUACGGGAGGCAGCAGUGGGGAAUCUUGCGCAAUGGGCGAAAGCCUGACGCAGCCAUGCCGCGUGAAUGAUGAAGGUCGUAGGAUUGUAAAAUUCUUUCACCGGGGACGAUAAUGACGGUACCCGGAGAAGAAGCCCCGGCUAACUUCGUG
rnacentral:rRNA from 1 species